GAUGAACGCUAGCUACAGGCUUAACACAUGCAAGUCGAGGGGAAACGAUAUUGGAAGCUUGCUUCUGAUAGGCGUCGACCGGCGCACGGGUGAGUAACGCGUAUCCAACCUGCCCAUCACUUGGGGAUAACCUUGCGAAAGUAAGACUAAUACCCAAUGACGUCUCUAGAAGACAUCUGAAGGAGAUUAAAGAUUUAUCGGUGAUGGAUGGGGAUGCGUCUGAUUAGCUUGUUGGCGGGGUAACGGCCCACCAAGGCGACGAUCAGUAGGGGUUCUGAGAGGAAGGUCCCCCACAUUGGAACUGAGACACGGUCCAAACUCCUACGGGAGGCAGCAGUGAGGAAUAUUGGUCAAUGGGCGAGAGCCUGAACCAGCCAAGUAGCGUGCAGGAUGACGGCCCUAUGGGUUGUAAACUGCUUUUAUAAGGGAAUAAAGUGAGUCUCGUGAGACUUUUUGCAUGUACCUUAUGAAUAAGGACCGGCUAAUUCCGUGCCAG
rnacentral:rRNA from 1 species